rnacentral:misc_RNA from 1 species
GUUUCAUAGUAAGAUGAGGAAUCAUGACCCGGGCCAAGCUCUUGGAAUCCCUAUCACCUCUGCCUCAAUGCAAGAAGAACCAGCUUCAGUUGAUCUCUCUGAGAGAGAAAAGGUUGUCAACUAUUGGAUGAGCAGACUCAGAAAGAAAACAGGAAGUUACAUGCAUGGCAUCCGACAGCGAGUAAGAUCAGGACCGAAGAAAUCUAAGAC